rnacentral:lncRNA from 1 species
AUUAGAAUUUCUCGUAUUGGUUGGUUAACCUUGUCGAGUCAUCGAUUGUGGUUGAAACUCAUCAGAAUCAUUGUUGUGUACUGACACUGGCAUGCAGACUGUGUCACAUGGUGUGAAGGAUGCAAUUGCAAAUAGUUCAUGCAAAGUACAAAGAUAGUUGAUGUUUCACCUGCAGCCAAAAUAAGAUAUCAAGGAGAAUUAUGACCUUUCGAAGUAAAGAAAAUAAAUUAGAGUUAAAGACGACCUCUUGGGAAAAUGAUUCGGUUAUCUUUUAGUCCAAGGUCCAAAAUUAAACACAAAUUAUGACCUUAACAGUUCCUCUCCUCCCUAGUUUCGCCUUUACAUCUCCUGCUCCUUGUCAAUUCGUCCAUCUCUAUAAUAAUCACGCAACCCAUACCCCUGUAUC